rnacentral:lncRNA from 1 species
CUCAGCAAUUGCAGGGGAGAUGGAAGCAGUCAACCAAGAAAUCACCAUGUUGUUGCACCUAUCCCACAACCUUUGUUGAGCCACAUUAGUGGCAGGUCGUGAGUAUGUGCCAUCAACAAAACCGAUUUUGUUUUUGGCUGAUAGGGCAACAAUCAUUUUACGUCUCCAGCCCCCAUAACCACUACCCGAGAAGGGAGUGGAAACGAGACAUACCCCAGGAACAUCAGAAGAAUAUACAAAAAGGGACUGGAAGAGUCUACAGAAGAGGAGGCACCAGUAUUUGUGUUAGAAGCCAUAGUCAAUGAACCGGCUUAAAGGAACAAUUUUUCAGCAAACACAGUAUAACCAAAACAGGUAUUCCCACACAAUAACCAACAAACAGAGUAUAAACAAAUCAGGUAUUCACAGACAACACCAGAUGCUCACAUAUACACAGUCAAAUAAUCACAUACAGUACCGAAGAUAAGGACAGAGUUACCCUCCUUCUUCACGACCGGAGAAGAUCAGCCUUCAAACAACAGAGAAACCCUAGGUAUCAAACCCUAGGUGUAACCUUAAAAAACCUUACUGGAAAUGUAGUCAGGAACGUCGGAGAGGCACCCAAAACAUCCAUUGAGUGAGAAUCGAGCCACCGGAUGGCAGUAAAACUUCAGGUUAAACCACCAGAAACCCUAGAAGCCGAUAAGUCACCCAAAAUCAACCAAAAAUCAUCAUAAAAUUUUCCAGAACGUUCAGGAGAAGAAAAUACACUCCGAUAUCACGACGAAAGACUCAGAAAGGUCUUCGAUGAGUCGGAAUCUUCAUCGACCGUGAGGUCUCAGAAAUCACCCCCAAAACCUCGAAACAANN